UAGAAAAUUAGAUAUUGAGUGAAACUACAAGCAAAUUAAGUCCCAACGUAGCCUGGAGGUAGCAUGUGGCCAUAUAUUUUGGUCUCUGGGUAGCUGUGCAAUGUUCCUGAGCUACACGACUCCAUUUGGACCUUGGUGCCACCUGCUCCUGUGACUGCUUCCUAGCACUGGCCUCUGUGGACAGGCCCCAUAUUCUUUGGAAGGAGAGCGACAAACUACAGCUGCUAAUGGAAGGGGCUGUGAAGUAUUAUCCCAGAGAGGGAAAGAUGCAGAGGACACUUAAUCAUCACCCCUAGAUAUUCAACGACUGGUCACAUGGAAGACAGAAUAUGACUGCUUAUUCACUUCUGCUCCCAGGCUCCCAGGUUUGAAGUUUCCUCUUCAUGACUGGUUGACCCUGCUGUUUCAGGCCUGUGGUAUCAGAACACAUCAUGGCAGGAGCACUUGGUGGAGCAAAACUGCUUGUCUCAUGGUCUUGAAACAAGAGACUCAGGUGGAGAUGCAUCUCCUGAUCCCCUUUGAUGACAUUGCCCUCUAUGAUCUAAAGACCUCUCACCAGGCCCCACCUCCUAGAGGUUUCACCACCUCCCAAUAGCACCACCCUGGAGAACAAAGCUUUGUGCUUUGAGGGGACAUUUAAGAUUCAAACUAUAGCACCUGGCCUUUCAUAAACAUUGCUUUCUGUAAGGGAGCAAUUUGAAGGACUCACUUACUAUACACUUAGUCUCCUACACAUAUGUAAAUUCAUAUCUAUGUGUUCACUUUGAGAGGAAUGUUAUAAUUUUUUGAGUUUGUUUUAGGAAGAGUUUGUCUCUUUAUGUAUAUUUGAAUAAAAGUAAUGAAUAUGAA